rnacentral:rRNA from 1 species
CUAACGUUAGUGGGACUCGAUUGUCUAGAUGUCAGAUUGAUUCAUUUUUCGCUAAGGAUGCUGACGUAAUGGCUUUAAACGACCCGUCUUGAAACACGGACCAAGGAGUCUAACAUAUAUGCGAGAAACACUCGCACACAUGUUAGAGCCUGGAUCAGUCAAGGUCUUGCCGC